rnacentral:rRNA from 1 species
UACGUAGGGUGCAAGCGUUGUCCGGAAUUAUUGGGCGUAAAAGAGCUCGUAGGCGGUUUGUCGCGUCUGCUGUGAAAACCCGAGGCUCAACCUCGGGCCUGCAGUGGGUACGGGCAGACUAGAGUGCGGUAGGGGGAGAUUGGAAUUCCUGGUGUAGCGGUGGAAUGCGCAGAUAUCAGGAGGAACACCAAUGGCGAAGGCAGAUCUCUGGGCCGUAACUGACGCUGAGGAGCGAAAGCAUGGGGAGCGAACAGG